rfam:Astyanax mexicanus chromosome 9, whole genome shotgun sequence.
AAAAUGGUUCUAUUUAGAACCAUGUCAACUUAGCAAACCAUUUGAAU